rnacentral:ncRNA from 1 species
UAAACCUGGCACAUGCAUCAUAUACCCACUUGUGGGUAUAUAAGGGUGCCGUGGUUGUAAUCCACUUUCAGUGGAACACGCCACGUUAAAUAAACAAGGAGAGAUCCUAGACGUCCACUGUCCCUAUCUACUAUCUAGCGAAACCACAGCCAAGGGAACGGGCUUGAAAUAAUUAGCGGGGAAAGAAGACCCUUUUGAGCUUGACUCUAAUCUGGCAG